GUUCACUUCACUUAAGAGAACAGCCGAAAGCUUCUUCGAGUUUGUGCUUAUUGUUUUGUGGCUGAGAUAGAAAUGGGAUUCUGCAGUAAAUUGGAUCCAGAAGUUUUUGAAACAAGUAUGGUGGAAGUGAAUAUCUUGUGAAUGACAUGAAUGGCAUGUACAGAGAUGUUGUCAGCAAGGCAAGAGUUAGUAAUAAGUUCAACAAGGAAUUCAACUUGCGAGGUGUCCAUCAGGGUUCAGCACUUAGGCCCUCCUAUUUAUUACUGUUAUCCAAGCCAUGAUAGAAGAGUUUGAGCUUGGUUGACAAGGGUAAGUUCUUUAGGCUAAUGACCUCGUUCUCACGACUGAACCUAUUAACCCUUUUAUUACUAACCUGGCCAAAACCAGCUCAGGCUCUGAGUACAAAUGUCUUGUUUUCAUAAGUUUUGAAUUAAAAUCUUCCACCAAA